GGGCAACAUACAGAAUGGGAGACAAUUUUUGCAAACUAUGCAUCUAGUGAAGGUCUAAUGUCCAGCAUCUAUACAGAACUUCAAACUUCCAAAAGAAAACCAAAUCACCCCAUUAAAAAGUAGACAAAGGACAUGAACAGAUACUUCUCAAAAGAAGAGAUGUCUCUUUCCCAUCUUACAAGAUGGUGGGUGAAAAAGUUGAGAAGCCAGAUACUAAAGAGAAGAAACCCGAAGCCAAGAAGGCUGAUGCUGGUGGCAAGGUGAAAAAGGGUAACCUCAAGGCUAAAAAGCCCAAGAAGGGGAAGCCCCAUUACAGCCGCAACCCUGUCCUUGUCAGAGAAAUUGGCAGGUAUUCCCGAUCUGCCAUGUAUUCCAGAAAGGCCAUGUACAAGAGGAAGUACUCAGCCGCUAAAUCCAAGGUUGAAAAGAAAAAGGAGGAGGAGCUUCUUGCAACUCUUACAGAACCAGUUGGUGGUGACAAGAACGGCGGUACCCGGGUGGUUAAACUUCGCAAAAUGCCUAGAUAUUAUCCUACUGAAGAUGUGCCUCGAAAGCUGUUGAGCCAUGGCCAAAAAAAAACCCAUCAGUCAGCACUGAGAAAACUGCAAGCCAGCAUUACCCCUGGGACCAUUCUGAUCAUCCUCACUGGACGCCACAGGGGCUAGAGGGUGGUUUUCCUGAAGCAGCUGGCUAGUGGCUUGUUACUUGUGACUGGACCUCUGGUCCUCAAUUGAGUUCCUCUACGAAGAACACACCAGAAAUUUGUCAUUGCCACCUCAACCAAAAUCGAUAUCAGCAAUGUCAAAAUCCCAAAACAUCUUACUGAUGCUUACUUCAAGAAGCAGCAGCUGCGGAAGCCCAGACACCAGGAAGGUGAGAUCUUCGACACAGAAAAAGAGAAAUAGGAGAUUACAGAGCAGCACAAGAUUGAUCAGAAAGCUGUGGACUCACAAAUUUUACCAAAAGUCAAAGCUGUUCCUCAGCUCCAGGGCUACCUGCAAUCUGUGUUUGCCCUGACGAAUGGAAUUGAUCCUCUCAAACUGGUGUUCUAAAUGUCUUAAGAACCCAUUAAAUAGCUAACUACAAAAAAAAAAGAAGAGAUGUCUUAUGAAUUAUAAGUAAAAAUUCUUUGAGGUUCUUCAUUUUUUAACUUUCAUUCCAAAGCUUGACAGAUUUACCACUAUAAUAUCUUGCUUUAGAAUAACUUGUGUAAUUGCCCAUGAAAUUCCCAAUUUUUUAGUUAACCAUAUUUAAAAAUCUACAUAAAUAUGCAUGUAGCAAAUGACUCUUAUUUAGUUAUUCAGAAAUUCUACAAUAAUUUUAAAUAUAACACCACCUCAUGGAUGUAUUAAUAUAGGAUCAGAAAUAUUUUUUGUGUAUGUUUCAUCCACAGUUGAAUAAGACUCCAUAUAUCUGAGUACUCCAGGACUUUAAUAUUUUAAUAAGAAUGUAUAGACAUUGCGGCCAUAGGCCAUGCUUCCCUUUUGUCCACAGUCACUGACAUGUUUUCUUAUAACUUGUGUACAACAGGUUCCCCACCUUUCCUUAAGAACUCUUAUCUUUUAGGGAGGUACACAAUUAUUAUUUACUAAUUUCUACACUCUUUUUAACUGUGUUUUCGGUGUUUUGUUGUUUUUACAAGUAGUGUCAUUAUGUUUUAAAAAUUCUAGAGAAUGGGAACACCUGUGUCUCUUGCCCCUUCCUUUGAUUCAUUCAUUUAGUCAUGCAGUAAAUAUCUGAGUGCCACCUGAAUGACAGGAGCCCUUCAGGAAAUAUGGUUAUGAAGCUACACAGGUAAAGCCACCAUCCAGAUGAAGCAUAUUUUCUAAUGAGAGACAAUAUACAGUAAGCAAGUAAAUAAUUGGAAAUAAUUGGAUAUGUGAUAAAAUUUUUGGUAGUAAUAAGUGCAAAGGAGAAAAAGAAAGCAGAGUGAAGAGAUUGGGUACGGCAGAGGGGCUUUUUUGUUUGUUUGUUUGUUUGUUUGUUUGGCUAAAGUGUUCUGGGAAGUGCUUUCUAAAGAGAUACUUCAGCAUAGACUAGAAUUAAGUAAGUGAAGGAACCAAGGGAAAAUCUAGGAGAAGAGUAAGCAAUGUCAGAAGGCCAGAAUAGAGGAGAGUGAGCAGCGCAAGAGGAAAUGAGUAUCAAAGUGCAUAGACACCAGAACCCUACAAGCAUUUGAAUUUUGUUCCAAGUGGUAUAGAAAUUUUGCCAUUAGAUCUGAGUUCUACAUUAAACGAUCACAAUAGCUGCUGUGUGAAGAAUAGGUUGUAGGGAGGCAAGAACAGAAGUAAAUAAAAACCAAUUAAACUAUUCUAAUUAUUCCAGGCAAGUGGUAAUUAUAGCUUGGUUAAGGAUGCGAGUGUCAGAAAUAGUGAAAAGUGGCAAGAUUGGGAAUAUAUAUUAAAGUUACAGCAAAUAGGAUUUGUUCAUGGCUUGGCUAUGCAGGGGUAUGGGAAAGUGGAAAGAAUUGUAGUUUUUAAGUAUUUUUGUCUCAGCAGCUAGAAGCUGACAUCAGCUGAGAUGGGUAGGACUAAAGGAGGAGAAUGUUAGUGGAAAUGGAUGGCUGUAAUCAAGAAUUUGUUUGGGAGCAUAUUAGGCAUAAGAUUCCAAUUAGAGAUUUCAGUGGAAAUUUUGAGUUUUGGUGGGAAUUCAACAAUGGAAUACAGGGAAGGAAAGAUAAAUUUGGGGCGUGUUCUGUUCAUAUACAUGCUAUCUAACUACUGCCUGUGACCAGAUGGAAUCACUUAUUAACAUGAAUGUGAAUAGCAGAAAGAUCAUUAACAGGAAC